UAGGGAAUCUUCGGCAAUGGGGGGAACCCUGACCGAGCAACGCCGCGUGAGUGAAGAAGGUUUUCGGAUCGUAUAGCUCUGUUGUUAAGGAAGAACGAGCGUGAGAAUGGAAAGUUCAUACUGUGACGGUACUUAACCAGAAAGGGACGGCUAACUACGUGCCAGCAGCCGCGGUAAUACGUAGGUCCCGAGCGUUGUCUGGAUUUAUUGGGCGUAAAGCGAGCGCAGGCGGUUAGAUAAGUCUGAAGUUAAAGGCAGUGGCUCAACCAUUGUAGGCUUUGGAAACUGUUUAACUUGAGUGCAGAAGGGGAGAGUGGAAUUCCAUGUGUAGCAGUGAUAUGCGUAGAUAUAUGGAGAAACACCGGUGGCGAAAGCGGCUCUCUGGUCUGUAACUGACGCUGAGGCUCGAAAGCGUGGGGAGCGAACAGG
rnacentral:rRNA from 1 species